rnacentral:rRNA from 1 species
AUUGAACGCUGGCGGCGUGCUUUACACAUGCAAGUCGAACGGUAACAGGCCGCAAGGUGCUGACGAGUGGCGAACGGGUGAGUAAUGCAUCGGAACGUGCCCAGUCGUGGGGGAUAACGCAGCGAAAGCUGCGCUAAUACCGCAUACGAUCUAUGGAUGAAAGCGGGGGACCGUAAGGCCUCGCGCGAUUGGAGCGGCCGAUGUCAGAUUAGGUAGUUGGUGGGGUAAAGGCUCACCAAGCCAACGAUCUGUAGCUGGUCUGAGAGGACGACCUGCCACACUGGGACGGAGACACGGCCCAGACUCCUACGGGAGGCAGCAGUGGGGAAUUUUGGACAAUGGGCGCAAGCCUGAUCCAGCAAUGCCGCGUGCAGGAAGAAGGCCUUCGGGUUGUAAACUGCUUUUGUACGGAACGAAACGGUCCUGGUUAAUACCCGGGGCUAAUGACGGUACCGUAAGAAAAAGCACCGGCUAACUACGUGCCAGCCGCCGCAGUAACAC